rnacentral:rRNA from 1 species
UACGUAGGGGGCAAGCGUUGUCCGGAUUUAUUGGGCGUAAAGAGCGUGUAGGCGGCCAGGUAGGUCUGCUGUGAAAACUCGAGGCUUAACCUCGAGAUGUCGGCGGAAACCAUCUGGCUAGAGUCCGGAAGAGGAGAAUGGAAUUCCCGGUGUAGCGGUGAAAUGCGCAGAUAUCGGGAAGAACACCCGUGGCGAAGGCGGUUCUCUGGGCCGAUACUGACGCUGAGGAGCGAAAGCGUGGGUAGCAAACAGG